GGGCCUGUAGCUCAGCUGGUUAGAGCGCAUCCCUGAUAAGGAUGAGGCCGGAGGUUCAAGUCCUCCCAGGCCCACCC
rnacentral:tRNA from 2 species